rnacentral:rRNA from 1 species
UACGAAGGGGGCUAGCGUUGCUCGGAAUUACUGGGCGUAAAGCGCACGUAGGCGGCUCUUUAAGUCGGGGGUGAAAUCCUGGAGCUCAACUCCAGAACUGCCUUCGAUACUGUAGAGCUUGAGUUCGGGAGAGGUGAGUGGAACUGCGAGUGUAGAGGUGAAAUUCGUAGAUAUUCGGAAGAACACCAGUGGCGAAGGCGACUCUUUGGCCUGUAACUGACGCUGAGGCGCGAAAGCGUGGGGAGCAAACAGG